AUUGAACGCUGGCGGCAGGCCUAACACAUGCAAGUCGAGCGAGCGGAGGACGGGUGAGUAAUGUAUUGGGACCGCCCGUUAGCUGGGGAUAACUACUGGAAACGGUAGCUAAUACCGCAUACUAUCGGAUAACCCAUAUGGGAUUAGCUAGUAGGUGAGGUCAUGGACCACCUAGGCGACGAUCCCUAGAUGGUCUGAGAGGUUGAUCCGCCACACUGGGACUGAGACACGGCCCAGACUCCUACGGAGGCAGCAGUGGGGAAGAUUGCACAAUGGGCGCAAGCCUGAUGCAGCCAUGCCGCGUGUAUGAAGAAGGCCCUAGGGUUGUAAAGUACUUUCAGUCGGGAGGCGUUACCGACAGAAGAAGCACCGGCUAACUCCGUGCCAGCAGCCGCGGUAAUUC
rnacentral:rRNA from 1 species